rnacentral:rRNA from 1 species
UACGGAGGAUCCGAGCGUUAUCCGGAUUUAUUGGGUUUAAAGGGUGCUCAGGCGGGGGAUUAAGUCGGCGGUGAAAUUUUGCAGCUCAACUGUAAAAGUGCCUUCGAAACUGGUUUUCUUGAGUGUGGAUGAGGUAGGCGGAAUUUGUGGUGUAGCGGUGAAAUGCAUAGAUAUCACGAGGAACUCCGAUUGCGCAGGCAGCUUACUAAACCAUAACUGACGCUCAAGCAUGGAGGCGUGGGGAUCAAACAGG